GUCUAGUGUGUGCGGGCGGCAGCCUGAAACUAUAAUCAAUCCUCCUCCAAUCUGAUAGAAAAACAUAAGGAUGUUUUUCUGGCAGUUGCCUCGUUUGUUAUGCUUGUUCCUCCUCUUAUCUCAAGUCACUUUCGGCUAUAGGCCAAUUUCCGUUUGCAGCCCGCCAGAUGAUCCAGUUCGUGGUGGCCGACAAGGUCGCGAUGAGGAUAAACCUAGACCAAGACCACCACCUCCACGAAGGCCACAGGGGGGUCCACGUCAGUAAUAAACAACAACAGCGAAAAGUAUAAAAUACACAUAAUUACCUGCAAAGGACUACGGUAACUGCGGCACCAGUUAGAUCUUAACGUUACUGCUAGUAUCUAUUCUAUUUUCUUCUUGUCAUAGAGUGGAGUUCUCAAUAGGUCGCCAAACUUCAUAACAAGAAUGAUGUAAAAUCUUUUUGUUGCUAUAAUAGUGGAGUUCUCCAGAGAUCGCCAAACUUCAUAG